rnacentral:rRNA from 1 species
GACAGAGGGUGCAAACGUUGUUCGGAUUUACUGGGCGUAAAGCGCGUGUAGGCGGCUUGGCAAGUCGGAUGUGAAAGCCCACGGCUCAACCGUGGAAGCGCAUCCGAAACUGCUUCGCUCGAGUCUCGGAGAGGAAGGUGGAAUGCUUGGUGUAGAGGUGAAAUUCGUAGAUAUCAAGCAGAACACCUGCGGCGAAGGCGGCUCUCUGGGACGGUACUGACGCUGAGACGCGAAAGCGUGGGGAGCGAACAGG